rnacentral:lncRNA from 1 species
UGGGCUCCCGACGCUCGCGGGAGCAGCGGGAAACCAGGUUCCGGGAGUGGGGCGAGGACGCCCCUGCCAAGCCCCUUUUACGUCCCGGCGGUCGCGAGGAGGUCCCCCGGGCGCGAAGAAGACGCCAGCCCACCCCAGCCGCCGGGGAGAUCGCCCAGGCCGCGCUCAGCCCCGCCCCUGGCUCUGCCCCCGCCGCGGAGCGGAACCCUCCAAGUCGCGGCCUGAGGAGGAAGGAAAAGGGGGCGGCCCGGGAGAGCCGCUGCGAAAUCAGCAACGGGCGGGAACCAGGUUGCCUCCCUGAGUCCCUUCUCUCCCCGGCCGGCUGCCAACCACAGCCAAGGCCAGAGAAACAGGCCCUUCUGCCGCGGCCACCUGGGCGCCUUGGACCCGCCCUCCGGACUCGCCCCCGCCCCUGCCGCGGAGUGGAACGUUUGGAACCCUGAGGGGCACAGCUCCUCUAGCAAUUCCGAUGUGAAAAGAAGAUGGAUGGAGAAGCACUGAUUCAGCCAUGGCUGACAUGUCGGAGUUGGAAUGGACAGUGCCCGGACCUCACAGUCUCAGAGAACUGGAGAAGAGUAAAGCUGAAGAGGGCAUCAUCUGGUUACAAAUGACAAGUCCAGGGCUCCAGAAUAUUCCAACAUGCCUUACUUCUGAACCAAAACAUUGGUCCAGCUAUUAGCUUGAAGAUGACAGUCACUUCACGUAAUGGCAUCUUCUCAUGUGAAAUAGGACAUAAUGACUUUCAAAUGAAGAUCUGUGAUAAGAAACGAUCUCUAAGGUCAUCCUGGAACCAACUGACCUACUGACAGACUGUUAUAAUAGCAGUUCAGUGCCCAGCAAUCCCAUUACUGGGUAUAUACCCAAAGGAAUAGAAAUCAU